CCUUUAAGUGUAAGGAAAGAGUCAUUUAAAAAUAGUUGCUAGGUACAGAGAAGAUUAGCAUGGUCCCUGCACAAGGAUGACAUGCAAAUUUGCGACACAUUCCAUAUUUUU
rnacentral:snRNA from 1 species